rnacentral:rRNA from 1 species
GACGAACGCUGGCGGCGUGCCUAAUACAUGCAAGUAGAACGCUGAAGGAGGAGCUUGCUUCUCUGGAUGAGUUGCGAACGGGUGAGUAACGCGUAGGUAACCUGCCUGGUAGCGGGGGAUAACUAUUGGAAACGAUAGCUAAUACCGCAUAAUAGUAGAUGUUGCAUGACAUUUGCUUAAAAGGUGCAAUUGCAUCACUACCAGAUGGACCUGCGUUGUACUAGCUAGUUGGUGAGGUAACGGCUCACCAAGGCGACGAUACAUAGCCGACCUGAGAGGGUGAUCGGCCACACUGGGACUGAGACACGGCCCAGACUCCUACGGGAGGCAGCAGUAGGGAAUCUUCGGCAAUGGACGGAAGUCUGACCGAGCAACGCCGCGUGAGUGAAGAAGGUUUUCGGAUCGUAAAGCUCUGUUGUAAGAGAAGAACGAGUGUGAGAGUGGAAAGUUCACACUGGACG